rnacentral:rRNA from 1 species
UGGCAGCAGUAGGGAAUAUUGCGCAAUGGAGGGAACUCUGACGCAGCGACGCCGCGUGAGCGAUGAAGGCCUUCGGGUCGUAAAGCUCUGUCCUCAGGGAAGAAGAAAGUGACGGUACCUGAGGAGGAAGCCCCGGCUAACUACGUGCCAGCAGCCGCGGUAAGACGUAGGGGGCGAGCGUUGUCCGGAAUUACUGGGCGUAAAGAGCACGUAGGCGGGUAUUUAAGUCAGGUGUGAAAGACCGCAGCUCAACUGCGGGGUUGCACUUGAAACUGAAUAUCUUGAGGGCAGGAGAGGUCAGUGGAAUUCCUGGUGUAGCGGUGAAAUGCGUAGAAAUCAGGAGGAACACCAGUGGCGAAGGCGACUGACUGGACUGACCCUGACGCUGAGGUGCGAAAGCGUGGGUAGCAAACAGGAUUAGAUACCCUU